rnacentral:rRNA from 1 species
GGAAUAUUGCGCAAUGGGGGAAACCCUGACGCAGCAACGCCGCGUGAGUGAGGAAGGUCUUCGGAUCGUAAAGCCCUUUUCUGCGGGACGAGAGAGGACGGUAGCGCAGGAAAAAGUGUCGGCUAACUACGUGCCAGCAGCCGCGGUAAAACGUAGGACGCAAGCGUUAUCCGGAAUUACUGGGCGUAAAGCGCGCGCAGGCGGAGGGGUAAGUCAGCUAUGAAAGCUCUCGGCUAAACUGGGAGAGGAUGGUUGAAACUGCCCGUCUAGAGUACAGCAGAGGAAUGUGGAAUUCCGCGUGUAGUGGUGAAAUGCGUAGAGAUGCGGAGGAACACCAGUGGCGAAGGCGGCAUUCUGGGCUGAUACUGACGCUGAGGCGCGAAAGCAUGGGUAGCGAAC